ACCUCCUCAGGUAUCAAUGCCAAUGUUAACGUGGUUUCUGAUAUCCUGUGGCGACAUCGUCCACAUAACGGAAGUCGUAACAGAAGCUCCACACUUUCACUGCGACUAGUGACGAUUUCUUCGUCUUCACUUUUCAAUGACAUAUCUGCCAGUUUUGUCAUCUCCCAUAAAGUUGGAACUUAUCUAAAUAAAUAUUUUAGAUAUGGUUAUAGAUCACCAACCCCAGUAAGACCUCUGGACAAUGCUACGAUCUUGGCACU
rnacentral:lncRNA from 1 species